ensembl:lncRNA
AUUACCCCAUUUUACAUUUACAUUGGUCUUACUAUAUUUAUUAUGGCACUACAGUUUUGUCUGGAGAUUUUCCAUUGUAUUACCAUAUUUUUUUGAUAUUUACCAUGGAGUUGCUGUGUUUAUUUUUAUUUAUUUAUUUAUUUUCUUCUUCAGAUAUUUACAAUGGUCUUACCAUGUACCAUGUAUUUUUUUUUUUUUAAUUACUUGGAAUUAUUUGGAAUGUUUUAAAGUACCAUGGUAUAUAAAUCAGAUUAUCAUGAUACUGGUGUACCUUCAAUGUAAAUAUACAAUAUGUUUUUGUAAUGGUCCGUCACGCUCAUUAACCGUAUGUUAUUCUCUCUUUUUUUUCUCAGUACGUUUGUCUUGGUUGAUAAGGACAACAGAUCAUUAUGAGUGUCAUAAUGGCUCAGGAGACACACACACACACACACACUGCGCACCAAAGGAUCCCAAUUUCCAGCAGCACCCCAGCGGUUUCUGAAUUUCUUAAUUACAUUCUUGGUACUGGCUUACGCAAGCGCUCUUACACGCGGCCCCUCAAACUGCUCUGCCAGCAAAGGUAACCUCAGCACUGAUCAAUACUAAGUCGCUAAUUAAACCUCUCUCUCUCUCCAGCCUCUAGCAUUAGCACGAGGAAGCGCUUCAUUGAACCGAACCAAGGCCGUGCCGUCUCCAACAUUACUGAGUCAACGGGGGUCACGAGAAUAAAUCCUCUAAGGCUUCAUGAUUUGGAUGUUUCCUGAGGAAGGAGCCACAUGUGCUGUUGAUUACAGCGCUGAAUGCUAGCGGCUGUAAGUGAACAAGGACCAUUGCACAGGCAAGAAUUGACGUACAUUCUUUCAGCUGUGAUGUCACAUCCUGUCAGUCACACUGUUUGUGCCCCGGCACACACACACACACACACACACACACACACACACCUGUCCUCUGUCUCUCCUUUUUUACUGACAACACACACUCAGGCAUCUCAAAGAAACCUCAAGCUCACCUUCCACACAAACACACUGCAUCUGUCUCACAUCCACCUCUCUCAUCUCUGCAGAUAUCACACACAUUCGAAGUCUCACCUUACACACACACACACACACGUCUCACGUCUGAUGUUACACAGAUGCAGCUCUGAUUGUUCUCCAGAGACCUCGACACACGCUGACUGAAUCUAAACCAGAGUGUCUUGUUUUCUGUCUUGUGUUUGUUUCAUGGUGCGGACUUUCCACUGACUUUAAUUGCUUUUGUUUUUAGCGAAUUAUAAUUGGUAUACCCUAACCUCCAAAUCAAACUCUUCAAGAAACCAUUUUGUAUUUUAUAAUAAUUUAUAAUUAAUAAUCUCUGAUUCAAAGCAAAAAUAAAUAAAAAAGUACUCAAGUAUAUCA